UGGCCCUACAGGAGCAGCUUUUGACACUCCUGCUGAAGGGUCUUAACCAGGAGUCACAUAAUCCAAAAUGAGCAAUGCUGGGAAACUUCAGGACCAACACAGAACUACUGAUAUUCCAGAGUUCAGUAAAAUACCUGGUGAGCUCAAAGAGAAGCCGAAAGAUCAACUCUGUAUCACUAUUUGCGUGAGCUCACCAGACAGACAUCCCAGAAUUCAAUUAUUCACCACAGCCAGGGGACAUUUAAUCAGACAUCCAUCAGGCAGAGUGUACAUACAAGUGGCGUGAUACAAACAUCUCAGUGCUGUUGGUAAAUCAAAUCUGAUUUAUAUAGACAGAUGACUUGUCUAUAAUGCUGCAUGAAUAAAGUUGCUUUAUUGCCUUUCUUUGAACACAACCCACUCAUAGAUGAGCUUGAAAAUGAGAUGUGCGAAGAUCAACAGCACUACACAAAUGCAUAUGACCCACUUAUUAUUGAAGCUACUGUUCAUUGCUGUUCACAGCCCUUCCUCAUUAUUUGCGACAUAAUCACAACCUUGUUUUGAAUGUGAUUAUGGUUGCGUAGCUUCAGGACACCAUUGUGUUUGAGAAGUCUGUUUCACUAGAAUUGGCCUUAAACAGUGCUCUGGGAAAAUCGGAGUAUUAAUAACAAUUAUUGGCGUUCUUUAGUUUCUACAGGCACCUUAAGUGUUGGGUAUUGACUGUUGUCUAUUGAUUUCACAGCUUGUCACUUGGGGUUCAACUCCCAUUGACUCAGAACACUUCAAACAAGCCCUCAUUCACCAACACUCUCUCCACAUGCACAUGUGCAGGAAGAUAUUAUUCUAAAUAGC
rnacentral:lncRNA from 1 species